GUAGGGCCACCAAGGCGGACGAUCCAGUAGCUGGUCUGAGAGGACGAUCAGGCCACACUGGAACUGAGACACGGCCCAGACUCCUACGGGAGGCAGCAGUGGGGAAUUUGGACAAUGGGCGAAAGCCUGAUCCAGCAAUGCCGCGUGUGUGAAGAAGGCCUUCGGGUGUAAAGCACUUUGUCCGGAAAGAAAUGGCUCUGGUUAAUACCUGGGGUCGAUGACGGUACCGGAAGAAUAAGGACCGGCUAACUACGUGCCAGCAGCCGCGGUAAUACGUAGGGUGCAAGCGUUAAUCGGAAUUACUGGGCGUAAAGCGUGCGCAGGCGGUUGUGCAAGACCGAUGUGAAAUCCCCGAGCUUAACUUGGGAAUUGCAUUGGUGACUGCACGGCUAGAGUGUGUCAGAGGGGGGUAGAAUUCCACGUGUAGCAGUGAAAUGCGUAGAGAUGUGGAGGAAUACCGAUGGCGAAGGCAGCCCCCUGGGAUAACACUGACGCUCAUGCACGAAAGCGUGGGGAGCAAACAGGAUUAGAUACCCUGGUAGUCCACGCCCUAAACGAUGUCAACUAGUUGUUGGGGAUUCAUUUCCUUAGUAACGUAGCUAACGCGUGAAGUUGACCGCCUGGGGAGUACGGUCGCAAGAUUAAAACUCAAAGGAAUUGACGGGGACCCGCACAAGCGGUGGAUGAUGUGGAUUAAUUCGAUGCAACGCGAAAAACCUUACCUACCCUUGACAUGCCACUAACGAAGCAGAGAUGCAUUUGGUGCUCGAAAGAGAAAGUGGACACAGGUGCUGCAUGGCUGUCGUCAGCUCGUGUCGUGAGAUAUUGGGUUAAGUCCCGCAACGAGCGCAACCCUUGUCUCUAGUUGCUACGAAAGGGCACUCUAGAGAGACUGCCGGUGACAAACCGGAGGAAGGUGGGGAUGACGUCAAGUCCUCAUGGCCCUUAUGGGUAGGGCUUCACACGUCAUACAAUGGUGCAUACAGAGGGUUGCCAAGCCGCGAGGUGGAGCUAAUCCCAGAAAAUGCAUCGUAGUCCGGAUCGUAGUCUGCAACUCGACUACGUGAAGCUGGAAUCGCUAGUAAUCGCGGAUCAGCAUGCCGACGUAUGCAC
rnacentral:rRNA from 1 species